rnacentral:rRNA from 1 species
GGCCGCGGGAAUUCGAUUCAGGCCUAACACAUGCAAGUCGAGCGGUAGAGAGAAGCUUGCUUCUCUUGAGAGCGGCGGACGGGUGAGUAAUGCCUAGGAAUCUGCCUGGUAGUGGGGGAUAACGUCCGGAAACGGACGCUAAUACCGCAUACGUCCUACGGGAGAAAGCAGGGGACCUUCGGGCCUUGCGCUAUCAGAUGAGCCUAGGUCGGAUUAGCUAGUUGGUGGGGUAAUGGCUCACCAAGGCGACGAUCCGUAACUGGUAUGAGAGGAUGAUCAGUCACACUGGAACUGAGACACGGUCCAGACUCCUACGGGAGGCAGCAGUGGGGAAUAUUGGACAAUGGGCGAAAGCCUGAUCC